GUCAGCAUGGCAUAGUGGUUUGAGUGUUGGACCAUGACUCUGGAGACCAGGGUUUGGUUCCCAGUUCAGCCA
rnacentral:tRNA from 1 species